rnacentral:rRNA from 1 species
AGCGAACGCUGGCGGCAGGCCUAACACAUGCAAGUCGAACGAAGUCUUCGGACUUAGUGGCGGACGGGCGAGUAACACGUGGGAACGUACCUUCUGGUUCGGAACAACUCAGGGAAACUUGAGCUAACACCGGAUGAGCCCUUAGGGGGAAAGAUUUAUCGCCGAAAGAGCGGCCCGCGUUAGAUUACAUAGUUGGUGAGGUAAAGGCUCACCAAGGCUACGAUCUAUAGCUGGUCUGAGAGGAUAAUCAGCCACACUGGGACGGCAGACACGGCCCAGACUCCUACGGGAGGCAGCAGUGGGGAAUCUUGCGCAAUGGGCGAAAGCCUGACGCAGCCAUGCCGCGUGAAUGAUGAAGGUCUUAGGAUUGUAAAAUUCUUUUACCAGGGACGAUAAUGACGGUACCUGGAGAAAAAGCCCCGGCUAACUUCGUGCCAGCCGCCGCUGUAAGAC